ACCGGUUCUCGGACAAAUUGGUGUGAAGGUAAUUGUUUUAGCGGGUGCCUGGUACAUUUGGUGGCAAAGGAGUAAACUUGUCAAAGGACAGCAAGUAGCUUGGCCGGCUAGAACAACAUUUGCUAAUCAGGCUUUCACCUCAAACCAUUCUACCGUGCGAGCAGUGAAGGCACAUGAAAUUUCAUGGACAAAGCCACCACGGGGUUCAUAUAAACUUAGGGACUGUCUAGGUCUCAGUCGACUGAGACUUCGCGAAGUCUCAGUCGGCUGACGUCAUCAUAUGUAGAUUAGGCCUGUUAAGUGGCUCUCUAUCUGCUGGGUUGAACCGGCUUAACACCUGGGCUGAUUUCUCUUUUCCUGUUUGUUUGUUGGGCUGGGCCAUGACAUUGUUUGCUUGUGGGCCUGGACGACAUAGGAAAAAGAUAAAAAAAAACUAUUUGCUGCUCUGCUUUAUGAACUCUACUUUUUGACUGAACCCAGGCAAAACCCCAUGCCCACAAGCAUGGAGAAACUCACUAGUGUAAGGGCGUCUGAUCUCUUCUCUGAUUUUCUCCCCCUCCCACCUUUCCCCCCGUCUUCUCUUCUGUGAUUUGUUCUAGAUCUGAUUUUCUUUUCUCUCUUCUCAUGUUUGUAACAGCAAUCCUGUAGCAGUAUGGAAGAUUCCUGAUGGGACAGAGGUUAGAGUUAUAAUUUGUAGGAAAAUUAGAGAAGAGGCAAAACUGAAUCAAGUACUAUUGGACCGCAUGUGUGUUGUAGCAAUUCUGACAGCAGAAAAUCAUUUUAUUUUUAACUGUAUGUCCAUGAAAAAUUGAUGUUGGACUCCUCCCUACAAAAGUUGUAUAUGGAUUGAUUGGUUCAUGUUUUAGGACAGAAUAUGGCUUGGUAAUUAAAACAGAAAUCAGUAGGGUGCUGCCCUCUCCCCUGCACAAGACACUAAAAGGAAAGACUGAACUUUUUUCAAGAUUUGCUACAGUGGGGUUGUAUUACAAGCAUAUUAUCAUACAUGACCCUGCCUAGUGUACAGAAACAGAUGAGAAAAAUGUAGCAUGGUUAACAUCUAGUUUGGUGACUACAGAAGAUCAAGAAUGUAUAGUGUUAACUAAGAAAAAAGAAACAGAGGCAUAGAAAAAAUGAACCUUUCUUGUGGAUGACCAAAUAUACCUCAGCAAUAAUGUUUUCUCUUCAUUUUGUAGGUGCUGGACGGAACUAUGGCACAAAGAACUCCAAACAGCUGUGGACCAGGACCAGUUAAU
rnacentral:lncRNA from 1 species